rnacentral:lncRNA from 1 species
CCCCCUUUUUAUAACAAAUACACCACUUUCAUCAUUUACCAUCAUUUGAUAUCAUUUCUUCCCCUUUUUGACAUCAUCAAAAAGAAUAACUAGGAGAGUAAGAUUUUCAUGGUGUUAGGUCAAGUAUCAAGGAAAUAGAGCAUCCAUUCAUCCAUUCAAAAAAAAAAAUGAUAAUAAACAUUCAUUCAUCCAAAAAGACAUGAUAAUAAAUAUUUAUUCAUCCAAAGAGACAUGAUGAUAAACAUUCAUUCAUCCA